AUUGAACGCUGGCGGAAUGCUUUACACAUGCAAGUCGAACGGCAGCACGGGGGCAACCCUGGUGGCGAGUGGCGAACGGGUGAGUAAUACAUCGGAACGUGCCCAGUCGUGGGGGAUAACGUAGCGAAAGUUACGCUAAUACCGCAUACGAUCUACGGAUGAAAGCGGGGGACCGUAAGGCCUCGCGCGAUUGGAGCGGCCGAUGUCAGGAUUAGGUAGUUGGUGAGGUAAAGGCUCACCAAGCCGACGAUCUGUAGCUGGUCUGAGAGGACGACCAGCCACACUGGGACUGAGACACGGCCCAGACUCCUACGGGAGGCAGCAGUGGGGAAUUUUGGACAAUGGGCGCAAGCCUGAUCCAGCCAUUCCGCGUGCAGGACGAAGGCCUUCGGGUUGUAAACUGCCUUUGUACGGAACGAAAAGGCUCUGGUUAAUACCUGGGGCUCAUGACGGUACCGUAAGAAUAAGCACCGGCUAACUACGUGCCAGCAGCCGCCGUAA
rnacentral:rRNA from 1 species